rnacentral:rRNA from 1 species
CCUACGGGUGGCUGCAGUGGGGAAUAUUGGACAAUGGGCGAAAGCCUGAUCCAGCCAUGCCGCGUGUGUGAAGAAGGCCUUCGGGUUGUAAAGCACUUUCAGUGGGGAAGAAAGCCUUGGGGCUAAUACCCUCGAGGAAGGACAUCACCCACAGAAGAAGCACCGGCUAACUCCGUGCCAGCAGCCGCGGUAAUACGGAGGGUGCGAGUGUUAAUCGGAAUUACUGGGCGUAAAGCGCGCGUAGGCGGUCUGAUAAGCCGGUUGUGAAAGCCCCGGGCUCAACCUGGGAACGGCAUCCGGAACUGUCAGGCUAGAGUGCAGGAGAGGAAGGUAGAAUUCCCGGUGUAGCGGUGAAAUGCGUAGAGAUCGGGAGGAAUACCAGUGGCGAAGGCGGCCUUCUGGACUGACACUGACGCUGAGGUGCGAAAGCGUGGGUAGCAAACAGGAUUAGAUACCCCGGUAGUC